rnacentral:lncRNA from 1 species
GUUCAAUUUUUAUGUGUUAAUGUAAAUCUGAGUGGUAAUAUAGUAGCAGCUGGAGGAAGAGGUAAUGAAUUUAUUGUAUACAUUUGGAAUGUGCAAACUGCACAUUGUGUUGAUAAAUUAUAUGGACAUACUGCUCCUAUCAUCAAAAUUUGUUUUAGUACUAGUUUAAAAUCAGAGGGUGUCAUAGCAACCUGUUCUAGUAGUAAAAAAGUGUUAAUAUGGGAUUUGUAUGUACGUAGAAAUAAAGGAAAUAAAAUAGAUGAAUUAGGUAAUAAUCAAUCUAUAUCUUGUAUGUGUUUUGAUCCUCGAGGAAAUGACAUUUUAGCUGUUUGUACAUUAGGAUGUAAAAUUAUAUUUUUUGAUGUCAAUAUUCAAGAAAUAAUUGGUACUAUAGAAGGUGGAAGGGAUAUUCAAAGUGGUAGGUUACUUGGAGAAAAGUGCUCAAACAUACCUUUGAGUAAAAAAUAUAAAAAAAGGUUAAUAAAAAAAGAAGCUAAAGAUGGUAUAAAAAAUAGUGGAUCGUUAAGAUCAUCUUAUCAUAAUUUUAGUAAAAAAGAUAAUGACGAAGUAGAUGAAUAUAUUUAUGAAGAUGACUUAGAAGAUGAAGGUAACAAUAUAUUUUCUAAUUUAAAUGUAUAUUUCACUUGUAUAGAUUAUAUACAUAAUGGUAAUUAUAUUAUUGGAUGUACAAAUAAAAGUAUUGCUUUGUAUAUAUAUGAUACUAAUUUAUAUUUGUUAAUAAAAAUGAUUAAUUUAACAACAAACUAUUGCAUUGACGGUAUGAGUCGUGAAGUUUCUACUCGUUAUUUAACAAAAGAAGGAAAAAACAUAUACGAAUGCGAUUUAAGUAAUGACGAAGGUGAUAUUUUUGAUGAUAAUUUAAAAAUGGCUAUGAAACGUAAACAAAGACAGGAUAUAGGAAUAUUAGCUUUACCAGGACAAAUAGAUAAUAUGUACUUAAAUAAUAAAUUUAAAAAAUUUAAAUUUAUUUUAAAUUAUUUAAAUAUAUCAGCUGAUGAUAGACAUAUAGCUGUUGCUACU